AAGAAAGACUAAGUUCAUAAUAUUAUUUUAUGGCAGUUUUGACAAACUGUUAGGGACCAAAUACAAGAUAAGGAUUCAAGACCAAAAAAUGAAGUUAACUUGAUAAUAAAACAACAACUGGAUACAAGGCAAGAAGGUCCUAGCUAGACCUCAAGAAGUGAGUUGCUGAUACUAAAGAUCCCCUCAACCUUGACUCCCA
rnacentral:lncRNA from 1 species